UACGGGGGGGGCAAGCGUUGUUCGGAAUUACUGGGCGUAAAGGGCUCGUAGGCGGCCAACUAAGUCGGAUGUGAAAUCCCCAGGCUUAACCUGGGAACUGCAUCCGAUACUGGAUGGCUUGAAUCCGGGAGAGGGAUGCGGAAUUCCAGGUGUAGCGGUGAAAUGCGUAGAUAUCGUAAGGAAGACCAGUGGCGAAGGCGGAUCUCUGGACAGCUACUGACACUGAGGCACGAAGGCCAGGGGAGCAAACGGG
rnacentral:rRNA from 1 species